AACGAACGCUGGCGGCAUGCCUAACACAUGCAAGUCGAACGAGACCUUCGGGUCUAGUGGCGCACGGGUGCGUAACGCGUGGGAACCUGCCCUUAGGUUCGGAAUAACUCCCCGAAAGGGGUGCUAAUACCGGAUAAUGUCUUCGGACCAAAGAUUUAUCGCCUUUGGAUGGGCCCGCGUUGGAUUAGCUAGUUGGUAGUGUAAAAGCCUACCAAGGCGACGAUCCAUAGCUGGUCUGAUAGGAUGAUCAGCCACACUGGGACUGAGACACGGCCCAGACUCGUACGGGAGGCAGCAGUGGGGAAUAUUGGACGCUGGGCGAAAGCGUGAUACAGCAAUGCCGCGUGUGUGAUGAAGGCCUUAGGGUUGUAAAGCUCUUUUACCCGGGAUGAUAAUGACAGUACCGGGAGAAUAAGCACCGGCUAACUACGUG
rnacentral:rRNA from 1 species